UUUUUUUCUUUUUGGCGUGGUUUUUUAUUUGUAUUUUCUAAAUGAUGAUUUUAAUUGUUUUUUAAGUAAUAUAAUUAUCAAAUUUACUCUAUAGUGUUUGUUUGUAUGUAUAAAAAUAUUAGUGACGUGUGUUUAUGUUAUUGAAGUACCGCUGUGACAAGUACUAAGUAAAUUAAAGAAAAAAACAACUUUAAUUGUGAUUUAACUUAAUUGACGCAUUGACUGAAAUAAGAAAAAUGAUUAAUAAUAUUUUUUCAGUCUCAUUAUGAAGAAAAAACAAUGAAUUAUAAAUACACAAUGACGUAUAUAAAAAAAUCAUAAAGGUUUACUUAAUAUCUAGUAAGCAAAUAUAGUUAGUCAAAUAUUUUCAAACUUGCAUAUACAUUUGUUUCGGAAUUUAAAUAAAUACAAUAUCGUAUUCUGUUUUAUUUUAGAUAUUUGACAAAACUUUGAUAGUAAAAGUCCUAUAUCCAUUAUUUACUUUACUACAAAAAUAACAGAAAACAUUUUAUCUGAUUGCUCCAUCUGCUUUGCACAAGAUUUCUCACAUAAAAAUAACGAGAUCCAUAAAAACCUUAAUCUGUUUGCUUUAAGCUGAUUAUAAUAAUCGAAAUCUUGUUUCUUAUUUUUUUCAAUCUCAUUUACUCUAAUGGAAGAAUACAAUUUUUUUUGUAUGUUUAUUAUUAUAUUGCUGCGUAUUUGAUUGUUAGAUGAACAAUACUGAAAACAAAUUCUCUUCAAUUUAUCUUAUAUUUAUAAUAAUUUUUUUUAGUUUACUUAUUUCUUCAUUUUUUAAAGGUGUCUGCCAAAGAAAAUUGCUGAGUUAAUUACAUGUCAUUGCCAAAAAAUGCUUAGUAUUCAUUAAAAAUUAGUAACUUUGUAUUAACAUUGUGUUAUUUUUUAUAUACAUUAAUGAAUAACUUUAUCAGACAUAUUAUUUCUAUCUAUAUAAUUAUCUAUAGAUGCAUUUUUUCAUGAGAGUUUGUAUUUCCUUUUAUAUGGUAGAGUUGUAAAUCCGAAAAGCUUUAAAACAAAGUUGCAAAAUACUCCUUUAAGCUUUAGGAUAUAUAUAUUCGCAGUCAUACCUUUUUUCUUAUCUAAGAUGUCACUUAAUAUGAUACGAUAUAUAACGUCACUUGCCGUAUACAACGUUUUCUUUCCAUCAAAGAAUUUGUCUUGCUAUUUAUGAUAGAAGGGUUGAUUCAAGAACUAUGCGUAGUUUGUUAAGGAGUAAUAUCCAACGCUCAUAGCGGAAGAACAAAAGGUGUUUUUACAACCACUAUAUUAUUUUACAAAUAUUUAUAACGUAGUCUACGUUUUUCCACUAGGUUUAUAGCUUUGUAAAUCUUGAGCAUUUUUAGUGCGCAAGUUUUUGGGUUUUUUUGCUACCUGAAGAGUGAUUUUUGUUUCCUAAAACUGCUAUAAUUAUCUUUUCAUUCUUAGCCCGAGAAGAUGUAAAAAGUAAUCACAAGUGUGUGUAGUCAUCAAUGAUGGAGAGUAACACUUAGAAGCUACUGCAGAGUUAUAAGGGUGUUAGAUUCUUAGUAUAAUUGAGGAUCAAAAAGAAAAUAUUUAUUUCACAUGUCCUUGAUUGAUAUGGAAUGGGAUUUCUGUCAGGUUCCUUCAAUUAAAGGCUAAUAGCGACCAAUUUAGUAAAACAUCAUGGCAGCUACAAUGUAAAAUUUAACAAAAAAAUAAAACAAAA
rnacentral:lncRNA from 1 species